GUUUUAGUAGAAAAAACGGGAGAGUAAGGAGGAGAUUGGUCCAAUUUGACAUUGAGUACUGAGGAUUUCUUCAAUCCGAACGAGUCUCUUUUUCUCGGUUUUUCCAUUUUUCUAAGGUUGUAUUUGACUACUUAAUGAUGUUGUGGUUUUGGCUGAUGAGAAAAACUUGGCGAAGUUAAGAAAAUAUUUGAAUGUGAUUUCCGUUGCAUUUCUUUCCAACCCCUGAAGGUGAAACUUAAGAUUUGAAGAUAUUAUUUUGCUCGUAUUCUAUAGAGGAGGAAGCCAUCCGAGUUAUGCGGUUUCGCAGUGGUACGUUAUACCGCCAGCAUCCUUCUGUUGUGCAGAUCACUCAUCCCCCACGCCCCGAUAAGGCUCGCCAAUCGGGCUACAGGCCGAGCAGUGUGCCGGAAACACAGCCCGGUUUCAACCAUUUGGUUAAGUAUUUUUGAGUAUUUGGAGUUUUAGUUGUAAAUGGUUAAGCAUGUCAUGAAUUUCAUUCGGCUGCUAGAGUAUUCUUCCUCUGUAAUGCAGACACAGUUAUACGAAAAAUCAAGAAAUAGCAUAGAUGGUCUACUAUCUUGCAUGCGAAGGGUGGAAGAUAAUGGCCUAUGUUGUUUACUGUGUGUGUGUGAGUCGAGGUGGACAUAAGCGACCAGUUGCUAUAUUGUGUAUGGUAAACCCACAAACCAGUUCGUCACUCAAUUGGAAUUACAACGGAGCAAGCGCGCAGUUGCAGAGGAGUGCGCUGGCCGGAAACUAGGCGUCCUCACAGUUCUCAACUCUUACUAGGUUAAUGAGGAUUCAACAUACAAAUAUUAUGAGGUAAUCUUGGUUGAUGCCGCCCACAACCCAAGGAUAAGUUGGAUCUGCAAUCCGGUUCACAAGCACAGGGAGCUUCGCGGACUCACUUCUGCUGGAAAGAAGUGCAGAGGCUUGAAUGUCAAGGGACACUUACACCACAAGGCACGGCCAUCGAGGAGGGCAAACUGGAAGAACAACACCGGAUCUCUUCCACGCUAUCGUUGACUGUACUAACUUUUCUAGUUUAUAUUGGGUUUUAGGCAUUGAAAGAGAACCUGUCGAGUUUUGCUAUUGGUAAACUAGCUCUGAACUAUUUAUCCUACGAGUACUUAAAUAAGUUGGUUUUUGCCCCUUCUAUAAGUUCCUUUUAUUUGUGCUUAGGCUAGCUCCUAUCGCAACCAAAAAAUUCUGACAAGAAAAUGUUAAUAGUUUUUGUGAUUGA